CCAUCACUUGUUUCAGCACGAAAAUCAUAAUCACUGGAAGUGUGUCGUCCUUUCUGAGGAUCGCCUACCUUGGUCGCAGCACCGCAGCAAGUUAUUGGCAACAUCAUAAAUUUUCUCCGCGAACAAGCAUAAGAUAUCCGAAUUUGGAACAGCAUAGCUAACGUCUGAGGAAUUGAAAUAGAGAAGAGGAGAGAGGGCUGCACUACAGCUAUAACAUCACUUGCAUAACGGCAACCACGACAAAAAAAUUC
rnacentral:lncRNA from 1 species